UCGAGAGGGAAACAGCCCAGAUCAUCAGCUAAGGCCCCUAAGUGGUGACUCAGUGGGAAAGGAUGUGGAGUUGCGAAGACAACCAGGAGGUUGGCUUAGAAGCAGCCACCCUUGAAAGAGUGCGUAAUAGCUCACUGGUCAAGUGAUUCCGCGCCGACAAUGUAGCGGGGCUCAAGUAUACCGCCGAAGCUGUGGCAUUCACAUAUCAGCUCAGCGCGCCUUCGGGUGUGUUCAGGCGUGUGGAUGGGUAGGGGAGCGUCGUGUGGCGAUGGAAGCGGCGGAGUGAUCCAGCCGUGGACGCCACACGAGUGAGAAUGCAGGCAUGAGUAGCGAAUGACGGGUGAGAAACCCGUCCGCCGAAUGAUCAAGGGUUCCAGGGCCAGGCUAAUCCGCCCUGGGUAAGUCGGGACCUAAGGCGAGGCCGACAGGCGUAGUCGAUGGACAACGGGUUGAUAUUCCCGUACCCGUGUAUGCGCGCCAAGUGAUGAAGCGGUGAGACUAACCACCCUGAACACUAGCCAUUGGGUGACUUUGUUGCCCUGGGUUGGUGUGAUGCGUGGGGCCUGAUCCGUGGUAGUCAAGUGAUGGGGUGACGCAGGAAGGUAGCCAAGCGUGGCGAUGGUAGUCCACGUCCAAGGUCGUAGGGCGAGGUGUAGGCAAAUCCGCACCUCACAUAGCCUGAGAGCUGACGGUGACCGCGAAUGCGGGAAUCUGGUGAUCCUAUGCUGCCAAGAAAAGCCUCGACGCGAGGUUCUAGCCGCCCGUACCCCAAACCGACUCAGGUGGUUAGGUAGAGAAUACUAAGGCGAUC
rnacentral:rRNA from 14 species